GCGGCCGAUAUCUGAUUAGCUAGUUGGUGGGGUAAAGGCCUACCAAGGCGACGAUCAGUAGCGGGUCUGAGAGGAUGAUCCGCCACACUGGGACUGAGACACGGCCCAGACUCCUACGGGAGGCAGCAGUGGGGAAUUUUGGACAAUGGGCGCAAGCCUGAUCCAGCCAUGCCGCGUGUCUGAAGAAGGCCUUCGGGUUGUAAAGGACUUUUGUCAGGGAAGAAAAAGCUGUUGCUAAUAUCGACAGCUGAUGACGGUACCUGAAGAAUAAGCACCGGCUAACUACGUGCCAGCAGCCGCGGUAAUACGUAGGGUGCGAGCGUUAAUCGGAAUUACUGGGCGUAAAGCGAGCGCAGACGGUUACUUAAGCAGGAUGUGAAAUCCCCGGGCUCAACCUGGGAACUGCGUUCUGAACUGGGUGACUAGAGUGUGUCAGAGGGAGGUAGAAUUCCACGUGUAGCAGUGAAAUGCGUAGAGAUGUGGAGGAAUACCGAUGGCGAAGGCAGCCUCCUGGGAUAACACUGACGUUCAUGCUCGAAAGCGUGGGUAGCAAACAGGAUUAGAUACCCUGGUAGUCCACGCCCUAAACGAUGUCAAUUAGCUGUUGGGCAACUUGAUUGCUUAGUAGCGUAGCUAAACGCGUGAAAUUGACCGCCCUGGGGAGUACC
rnacentral:rRNA from 1 species